rnacentral:rRNA from 2 species
ACCUCGGAUCAGGUAGGAAUACCCGCUGAACUUAAGCAUAUCAAU